rnacentral:rRNA from 1 species
UACGGGGGGGGCAAGCGUUGUUCGGAAUUACUGGGCGUAAAGGGCUCGUAGGUGGCCAACUAAGUCAUACGUGAAAUCCCUCGGCUUAACCGGGGAACUGCGUCUGAUACUGGUUGGCUUGAGUUUGGGAGAGGGAUGCGGAAUUCCAGGUGUAGCGGUGAAAUGCGUAGAUAUCUGGAGGAACACCGGUGGCGAAGGCGGCAUCCUGGACCGGCAUUGACGCUGAGGCGCGAAAGCCAGGGGAGCAAACGGG